rnacentral:rRNA from 1 species
UCUGGCGAACAUAGCGGAGUGGUACCACCCCUUCCCUUCCCGAACAGGACCGUGAAACGCUCCAGCGCCGAUGAUAGUGCCUCUACAGGUGUGAAAGUAGGUCAUCGCCAGAC